UAAAUGCGUUAAUUCAUGUGAAUUGUAAGAUUUUGUGAAUCAUCGAAUAUUUGAACGCAUAUUGUACUUUUUAGCGUAAGAACCUAAAAAGUGUGUAUGUUUGAGCGUCGAUUUUAAAUAAUGAUUAUUUCAAUUUUAAUUGAAAUAAAAUCUAAUUGAAGUUCAAUUUGAUAUCAUAAAAAGUUAAGAACACUCUUCUCUUUUAUGAAUAAUUUGAUCUUUUAAAAUACAUUUAAACCCUUUACUCGACCUCAAAUCAUGCAAGAUUACCCGCUGAAUUUAA
rnacentral:misc_RNA from 1 species